rnacentral:rRNA from 1 species
UCCUACGGGGGGCAGCAGUAGGGAAUCUUCCACAAUGGACGAAAGUCUGAUGGAGCAACGCCGCGUGAGUGAAGGAGGGUUUCGGCUCGUAAAGCUCUGUUGGUAGUGGAGAAAGAUAGAGGGAGUAACUGGCCUUUAUUUGACGGUAAUUACUUAGAAAGUCACGGCUAACUACGUGCCAGCAGCCGCGGUAAUACGUAGGUGGCAAGCGUUGUCCGGAUUUAUUGGGCGUAAAGCGAGUGCAGGCGG